rnacentral:rRNA from 1 species
GACGAACGCUGGCGGCGUGCUUAACACAUGCAAGUCGAACGGAAAGGCCCUGCUUUUGUGGGGUGCUCGAGUGGCGAACGGGUGAGUAACACGUGAGUAACCUGCCCUUGACUUUGGGAUAACUUCAGGAAACUGGGGCUAAUACCGGAUAGGAGCUCCUGCUGCAUGUUGGGGGUUGGAAAGUUUCGGCGGUUGGGGAUGGACUCGCGGCUUAUCAGCUUGUUGGUGGGGUAGUGGCUUACCAAGGCUUUGACGGGUAGCCGGCCUGAGAGGGUGACCGGCCACAUUGGGACUGAGAUACGGCCCAGACUCCUACCGGAGGCAGCAGUGGGGAAUAUUGCACAAUGGGCGGAAGCCUGAUGCAGCAACGCCGCGUGCGGGAUGACGGCCUUCGGGUUGUAAACCGCUUUCGCCUGUGACGAAGCGUGAGUGACGGUAAUGGGUAAAGAAGCACCGGCUAACUACGUG